AACGCAUAUUGCACUCUUUGGUAUUCCGAAGAGUAUGCCUGUUUCAGUAUCAUGAAAACCCUCACAAAACUUUUUUUGGCUUUGUGGACUUGAGCAUUUUGCGGCUUUUGUUUAAGCUGCUGGCUUAAAAUGUAUUUCUUGGAUAGCAUAUUUAAUGGCUUUCGAAACUCGGCUUAAUAGUUUUGGCUUUUGGUCAAAUCUUUAGCUCUUUUCAAAGUCAAAAGUUAAUUCAAGAUGUUUAUACGAACACUUUUUCUCAAAAUUUGAUCUGAAAUCAGGUAGGAUUACCCGCUGAACUUAA
rnacentral:misc_RNA from 1 species